AAUGUAAAACUUUUAAGUUUACUGUCUAAAAAUUAUAAACAUUUUAUAUUCAGAACUAUGAAUUUUAUAUGGAUUUUAUCUAAAUGAUACUUAGCCAAUAUUUAAACAAUAUUUAUCCUAUAUUUAAAAAAAAAAAAAAAAAAAACUUUCAUUAAAGAAAAUAUUAAUUUCUGAAAUCUUUUCAGAAGGAAUGAGAAAGUUUAAAGCGCGUAGUUGGACUAUACAAGUAUGUGAAGGUUGUGACCCUUCGUACCUGGAAUAUAUAUAGACUUAAGUAGAGGCUGUGUUUCUGCCGAAACUUGAGUGAACGUCGAAGUUUCUCUCGACAAAGAUUAAAUAGAAAAACUGAAACCAGUGCUGAGGCAGUGCUGGAACCCUACCCUUUAGUACAGUGUAAACUGCUGUACUAAAACUGGACCUUGUCAAGUCUUCAAGUCCUGAAAGGUAGUUUAAUUUCGCAUAAUAAAAACACUGAACAAUUUGUGAAAUUUAAUGUUAUUGAACAAUUCAAUAGUAAAUAAAUAACGUUGUUAUUUAAUUAGAACUCUUGGUGUGGAGUUCAAGAUCUCUGUAGGUCGAUCUAAACUAAAAUGGUCCUACAGACAUUAUUGAUCGAUUGACGUACGCAAGCAUGGAACUGUGAACAGUGCUCUCAUGUAAAUGGAUACUCACCGUAAUGUAAGUUUUUAUUUUUGUAUUCUUUCAUAAAAACUAUAUUGUUCUAAAAAGUCCAACAUAUAAGAUCUAAAAAGCCGCGCUAUAAAAAUUGCAUUUUUCACACUUGAUUGUAUAUAUUUUGU